CGAUUCCCUUAGUAGCGGCGAGCGAAACGGGAAGAGCCCAAACCAACAAGCUUGCUUGUUGGGGUUGUAGGACACUCUAUACGGAGUUACAAAGGACGACAUUAGACGAAUCAUCUGGAAAGAUGAAUCAAAGAAGGUAAUAAUCCUGUAGUCGAAAAUGUUGUCUCUCUUGAGUGGAUCCUGAGUACGACGGAGCACGUGAAAUUCCGUCGGAAUCUGGGAGGACCAUCUCCUAAGGCUAAAUACUCUCUAGUGACCGAUAGUGAACCAGUACCGUGAGGGAAAGGUGAAAAGCACCCCGGAAGGGGAGUGAAAUAGAACCUGAAACCGUGUGCUUACAAGUAGUCAGAGCCCGUUAAUGGGUGAUGGCGUGCCUUUUGUAGAAUGAACCGGCGAGUUACGAUUUGAUGCAAGGUUAAGCAGUAAAUGUGGAGCCGUAGCGAAAGCGAGUCUGAAUAGGGCGUUUAGUAUUUGGUCGUAGACCCGAAACCAGGUGAUCUACCCUUGGUCAGGUUGAAGUUCAGGUAACACUGAAUGGAGGACCGAACCGACUUACGUUGAAAAGUGAGCGGAUGAACUGAGGGUAGCGGAGAAAUUCCAAUCGAACCUGGAGAUAGCUGGUUCUCUCCGAAAUAGCUUUAGGGCUAGCCUCAAGUGAUGAUUAUUGGAGGUAGAGCACUGUUUGGACGAGGGGCCCCUCUCGGGUUACCGAAUUCAGACAAACUCCGAAUGCCAAUUAAUUUAACUUGGGAGUCAGAACAUGGGUGAUAAGGUCCGUGUUCGAAAGGGAAACAGCCCAGACCACCAGCUAAGGUCCCAAAAUAUAUGUUAAGUGGAAAAGGAUGUGGCGUUGCCCAGACAACUAGGAUGUUGGCUUAGAAGCAGCCAUCAUUUAAAGAGUGCGUAAUAGCUCACUAGUCGAGUGACACUGCGCCGAAAAUGUACCGGGGCUAAACAUAUUACCGAAGCUGUGGAUUGUCCUUUGGACAAUGGUAGGAGAGCGUUCUAAGGGCGUUGAAGCAUGAUCGUAAGGACAUGUGGAGCGCUUAGAAGUGAGAAUGCCGGUGUGAGUAGCGAAAGACGGGUGAGAAUCCCGUCCACCGAUUGACUAAGGUUUCCAGAGGAAGGCUCGUCCGCUCUGGGUUAGUCGGGUCCUAAGCUGAGGCCGACAGGCGUAGGCGAUGGAUAACAGGUUGAUAUUCCUGUACCACCUAUAAUCGUUUUAAUCGAUGGGGGGACGCAGUAGGAUAGGCGAAGCGUGCGAUUGGAUUGCACGUCUAAGCAGUAAGGCUGAGUAUUAGGCAAAUCCGGUACUCGUUAAGGCUGAGCUGUGAUGGGGAGAAGACAUUGUGUCUUCGAGUCGUUGAUUUCACACUGCCGAGAAAAGCCUCUAGAUAGAAAAUAGGUGCCCGUACCGCAAACCGACACAGGUAGUCAAGAUGAGAAUUCUAAGGUGAGCGAGCGAACUCUCGUUAAGGAACUCGGCAAAAUGACCCCGUAACUUCGGGAGAAGGGGUGCUCUUUAGGGUUAACGCCCAGAAGAGCCGCAGUGAAUAGGCCCAAGCGACUGUUUAUCAAAAACACAGGUCUCUGCUAAACCGUAAGGUGAUGUAUAGGGGCUGACGCCUGCCCGGUGCUGGAAGGUUAAGAGGAGUGGUUAGCUUCUGCGAAGCUACGAAUCGAAGCCCCAGUAAACGGCGGCCGUAACUAUAACGGUCCUAAGGUAGCGAAAUUCCUUGUCGGGUAAGUUCCGACCCGCACGAAAGGCGUAACGAUUUGGGCACUGUCUCAACGAGAGACUCGGUGAAAUCAUAGUACCUGUGAAGAUGCAGGUUACCCGCGACAGGACGGAAAGACCCCGUGGAGCUUUACUGUAGCCUGAUAUUGAAAUUCGGCACAGCUUGUACAGGAUAGGUAGGAGCCUUUGAAACGUGAGCGCUAGCUUACGUGGAGGCGCUGGUGGGAUACUACCCUAGCUGUGUUGGCUUUCUAACCCGCACCACUUAUCGUGGUGGGAGACAGUGUCAGGCGGGCAGUUUGACUGGGGCGGUCGCCUCCUAAAAGGUAACGGAGGCGCUCAAAGGUUCCCUCAGAAUGGUUGGAAAUCAUUCAUAGAGUGUAAAGGCAUAAGGGAGCUUGACUGCGAGACCUACAAGUCGAGCAGGGUCGAAAGACGGACUUAGUGAUCCGGUGGUUCCGCAUGGAAGGGCCAUCGCUCAACGGAUAAAAGCUACCCCGGGGAUAACAGGCUUAUCUCCCCCAAGAGUUCACAUCGACGGGGAGGUUUGGCACCUCGAUGUCGGCUCAUCGCAUCCUGGGGCUGUAGUCGGUCCCAAGGGUUGGGCUGUUCGCCCAUUAAAGCGGUACGCGAGCUGGGUUCAGAACGUCGUGAGACAGUUCGGUCCCUAUCCGUCGUGGGCGUAGGAAAUUUGAGAGGAGCUGUCCUUAGUACGAGAGGACCGGGAUGGACAUACCUCUGGUGUACCAGUUGUCGUGCCAACGGCAUAGCUGGGUAGCUAUGUGUGGACGGGAUAAGUGCUGAAAGCAUCUAAGCAUGAAGCCCCCCUCAAGAUGAGAUUUCCCAACUUCGGUUAUAAGAUCCCUCAAAGAUGAUGAGGUUAAUAGGUUCGAGGUGGAAGCAUGGUGACAUGUGGAGCUGACGAAUACUAAUCGAUCGAAGACUUAAUC
rnacentral:rRNA from 1 species